GGUUAAGCUAUAAAGAGCGCAGGGCGAAUGCCUUGGCACUGGGAGCCGACGAAGGACGCGGUUAACUGCGAUAAGCCAUGGGGAGUCGUAAGCAGACGCUAUAUCCAUGGAUUUCCGAAUGGGGCAACCCGGCUAAGUGAAGCUUAGUCAACGUAUACUGAAUAAAAUAGGUAUGCGUGGGGAACCGCCUGAACUGAAACAUCUAAGUAGGGCGAGGAAGAGAAAUCAACCGAGAUUGCGCAAGUAGUGGCGAGCGAACGCGGAAGAGGCCAAACCGAAAGUAGAAAUACCUUCGGGGUUAGGACAGAAUACGGCAUUAAAUAAGGUUAGUCGAAUUGUGUGGGAAAGCAAACCAAAGAGGGUGAGAGUCCCGUAGACGAAAACUGAGUUUAGCUAUCUGUAUCCAGAGUACCGCCGGACACGUGAAACCCGGUGGGAAGACGGGGGGACCACCCUCCAAGCCUAAAUACUACCCAGUGACCGAUAGAGUAACAGUACUGUGAAGGAAAGGUGAAAAGAACCCCGGGAGGGGAGUGAAAAGAACCUGAAACCCUGUGCUUACAAGCACAUAGAGCACGUCAAAGUGUGAUAUGGUACCUAUUGUAGAAUGGUCCGGCGAGUGAAUGUAACUAGCAAGGUUAAGCACUUAAGGUGCGGAGCCGAAGCGAGAGCAAGUCUGAAUAGGGCGUCGAGUUAGUUGUAUUCGACCCGAAACCGGGUGACCUACCCAUGUCCAGGUUGAAGUGGAGGUAAAACUCCAUGGAGGACCGAACACACGUCCGUUGAAAUGGCCGGUGAUGAGGUGUGGGUAGCGGAGAAAUUCCAAUCGAACCCGGAUAUAGCUGGUUCUCUCCGAAAUAGCUUUAGGGCUAGCCUUGUUUUAGAUUACCGGGGGUAAAGCACUGAAUGAGCUAGGGGGCUUCACGGCUUACCGAACUCUAUCAAACUAAGAAUACCGGAUAAUUGAUGAACAGGAGUCAGACUAUGGGAGAUAAGUUUCAUAGUCGAAAGGGAAAGAGCCCAGACCCACAGCUAAGGUCCCUAAAUACAGUUAAGUAUCGAUCACGGCAACAGGACGCUAUUCCAGAUAUGCGCUUACCGAGGUUAUGAAAUGCGGGGAAUGCUGGAGUAGAUACCGUCGUUGUACAUGGA
rnacentral:rRNA from 1 species